UCAAGAAACUUCCACAAUGGGCGAAAGCCUGAUGGAGCGACGUCGCGUGAUGGACGAAGUGCUUCGGCACGUAAACAUCUUUUAUGUGGGAUGAAAUUAUUGACAGUACCACAUGAAUAAGGGGCUUCUAACUCUGUGCCAGCAGGAGCGGUAAUACAGAGGCCCCAAGCGUUAUCCGGAAUCACUGGGCGUAAAGGGUGUCGAGGCGGUUGUAUUAGUCGUUCGUAAAAUCUACGAGCUUAACUUGUAGGCGGCGAACGAAACGGUACGACUUGAGGUUUGGAGAGGUGCGUGGAACUCACGGUGUAGGGGUGAAAUCCGUUGAUAUCGUGGGGAACACCAAAGGCGAAGGCAGCGCACUGGCCAAAAUCUGACGCUCACACACGAAAGCUAGGGUAGCGAAGAGGAUUAGAUACCCAAGUAGUCCCUGAGCGGGCUGGCAAGGCGCAU
rnacentral:rRNA from 1 species